GUGAGCGAGAGCAGACUCGCAAGGAGCUCAUGGUGGCUUUGCGACUGCAAUGCCGCAGGGCUGGGGAUGCAGCUGGACCAGGAGCAUGCACCCGGUCUGUCCGUCUGUGCACGGUGGUCUGAUCCAGCCUGAGUCCAUAGCCCAGGUAAAAGCCCCAGCACUGUAAGGAGUCCAUCAGGGCAGCCUGAGGGGCUGAGAGUGAUCCAGGAGGUUCUGCACUUGCCCAAGGCUGGUGGAGAGCCAUGGGAAAUCACCAUAAUGGAUUACCAUCUCAUCAAACACUGAGAAACAGGAGGUGGAUUGCCCUUUGCUCCAUAGUGUGAGGUGCUUUUCCCAAGAGGACAAGAACCGUGAUUAAAAGAACACAGGAGAAUUGCGAGGAAGACACCUUGUCCUCUGGAAGUCGGUGUCUUUUCCAAUGGAGUUCAAAUAAAUGCAGUAAACUUCCUGGAAGUGGCUGGCUAAGAGCAUUGGCUCUGUGGGAAGCAACCUCAGCUCCUGAGCACGCCACCAUGAUGUACUUUUAAGACACUGUUUGAUUCUCACUACCUCUCAUCUUCAGGUCUUUUGCAUGGAAAAUCUGAAUUAACUACACUCCAGUAUCUACCAGCCCGAUGUGGAUGACUGAUACGGGCAACAGGGACCCAGAGAUAGAGGGCACUGAAGACUGGGAGGAUAUCUGUGCUGAGAAGGAAAAGAAUAGAAAAUGCCAUGGAGAAAGAAAUAAGCUACAGAUAAAGGUGCAAAUCCACAGAUAUUGCAGAAAACUUCCUUUACCAUGACCUCAAAGAAACAUUGCUGGUUUCUACCGACUCCCAUCGGUUUCUGCUAAGGCACUAAGUCACCAUCCUGCUCAGCCAUGUACCCCAGCGGGACAUCUCUUCAGAGCCACUUA
rnacentral:lncRNA from 1 species